rnacentral:rRNA from 1 species
UACAGAGGUGGCAAGCGUUGUUCGGAAUUACUGGGCGUAAAGGGCGCGUAGGCGGCCAUCUAAGUCAGACGUGAAAUCCCCCGGCUUAACCUGGGAACUGCGUCUGAUACUGGACGGCUCGAGUUUGGGAGAGGGAUGCAGAAUUCCAGGUGUAGCGGUGAAAUGCGUAGAUAUCUGGAGGAAUACCGGUGGCAAAGGUGGCAUCCUGGACUAACACUGACGCUGAGGCGCGAAAGCUAGGGGAGCAAACGGG